rnacentral:rRNA from 1 species
UGGGGAAUAUUGGACAAUGGGGGCAACCCUGAUCCAGCAAUGCCGCGUGAGUGAUGAAGGCCUUAGGGUUGUAAAGCUCUUUCGGCGGGGACGAUGAUGACGGUACCCGCAGAAGAAGCCCCGGCUAACUUCGUGCCAGCAGCCGCGGUAAUACGAAGGGGGCGAGCGUUGUUCGGAAUUACUGGGCGUAAAGGGCGCGCAGGCGGCCUACGUAGUCAGGCGUGAAAGCCCCGGGCUUAACCUGGGAAUUGCGUUUGAUACUCGUGGGCUUGAGUAUGGGAGAGGAGAGUGGAAUUCCCAGUGUAGAGGUGAAAUUCGUAGAUAUUGGGAAGAACACCAGUGGCGAAGGCGGCUCUCUGGACCAUAACUGACGCUGAGGCGCGAAAGCGUGGGGAGCAAACAGGAUUAGAUACCCCUGUAGUCC